rnacentral:rRNA from 1 species
UACGGAGGGAGCUAGCGUUGUUCGGAAUUACUGGGCGUAAAGCGCACGUAGGCGGCUUUUGUAAGUUAGAGGUGAAAGCCCGGGGCUCAACUCCGGAACUGCCUUUAAGACUGCAUCGCUAGAAUCCGGGGAGAGGUGAGUGGAAUUCCGAGUGUAGAGGUGAAAUUCGUAGAUAUUCGGAAGAACACCAGUGGCGAAGGCGGCUCACUGGACCGGUAUUGACGCUGAGGUGGCGAAAGCGUGGGGAGCAAACAGG